GGCAGAAGCUAGAAGAGAAAGAGAUAAAGACGGAAUGAGAGAUGAAAAAAGAUUAAAAAUGAGGAACCGAGAAAGAACGAAAAGGACGAAAGCGAAGAGUAAAGGUUGCUCUGAGCGAAAAUGUGUAUGAAACGACGAAAAAGAGGUAGGUAGCUAGAAUGAUAGAGAAUAAAAAAGAAAGAGAGAGUGUACGGAAUGCUAUCAUGAGUUUUCCGAGUUUUCCACGAGCUAUUCUAGGAGUGGGGGUGUUAAUUACCAGCUCGUUCUGUGCAUAAGAAAGAGAGAGAAAGAGAAAGAGAGAGGAAGAGAGAGAGAGAGAGAGAGAGAGAGAGAGAAAGAGAGAAAGAGGGAGAGAAGAGUACUCUCGAGAUAUGGGGGCGGACAGGGGCAGACUCGGUGGUAGGAAAGGAUAGAGGCAGCCGGGUGCGAGAUAACGUUUUCAAUUACCUGCAGGAUGUGACGUAGUUAUGAGUUAGCUACCUAGAGAGCGAAAGCGGUGAAGGUUAGGAGUCCUACCUCUCUACCAAGCCAACCAACUGCUUCCAGGAGAUGAUGAACCAAAAUGGCCUAGGCGAAUAUUGGGUAAGAAGACAAAAGCCAUUUACGAAAGGCUACGAAACGGGAAGAGUGUAAGCCAAGUGACAACGAACGACGGGAAUCGAGCGGAGAAGCGAAGCGAAAGAAGCAGAAAAACCGAUCCAAUUAGCGCAUGACUUUAAUGCGAUAGAACGAAGGCGACGACUCCCUCUUAUAAUCCUCGAGACUCCUUUCUGUUCGCUCUUGUCCCAGUUGACUUCACGCUAGGGGCCCUAGUAGACCCCUCUUUUUCUUCUGCUUUUUUUAUUUACUUUCGAGAAUAUCACAGAUGGCUUUACCGACGGUAACUUUACCGUCAGGAUAAAAUGUGCCAACGUUCAACGAAGAGAAAGAAAGAAAAAAGAAUGCGUAAUCAUCGAAGCUUUCGUUAAAGUUCGACGACGUUUCGAUAGGACUUCUUUUCCGAUCAUCGGCUCGUCUUUAACAAUAGCUUCAGGCGUCGAAAAUUGAAUUUAAGGAAAAAUUAAAUGUGCGAGGAGUACGUAAUAAAUGUUUUUUUCUCUUCUU